CUGGACCAUGUCAUCAUAGUGUUUCCGUACGGUACACAGAAAGCACCAGCCCCACUCUUCAUUGCUUCGCGAUAUCCAGUACGUUUACAUCGUUGUUGAAGGAGGUCUCGGCUGGUAAUGGCGCUUUCCAUUUUUCAUUAUUUUCAUGAUUCCUAUAUUUGUCGAGAUUAUAGAAAAUGGGAGAAACUUGCGCAAAACUCAGGAACCGUUAAAUAUUCAAUUCCAUAAUGGCGUCAUUCGUGACGUCAUGGGAAUUUCAGUUCUAUUACCGUCAUUAGAAAAGACUUGUAAGUCUCAGGACAUGCUAUUUUGGAAAGUUGCUCCGAAGGAUCCCUGAGGCAUCGAAUUGCUAAGCAGUUUCUAUACGAAGUCUAUUGGCUUAAACAAUGACACAGCAGUGAGACUGAGACAACAAAAAUGACACGCCUACUGAGGGGUUAAUAUAUCCUACCGGUUAACAGUGAGAGAUUAUAAAAGCUGCGGGAAUCUUGAUUUGAUACCUUGGAAAUUAAUUGCUGAUAUGGC